CACACACUUCCGCACAGGUUUCACUGACGACGCCGAGGUGAGUGGGUUCUCGGACACGGGUUUUGCCCCGAGCAGGCGCCUCUUCAUCCCAGUGUUGACUCCGCAGAUAAUGGCCGCCGCGUCUGUCCAUGAUUUCUAAGCCCCGUGAGACGGCCGCCAGACAUCUCCCAGGAGUUCCACCGCUUCUAACAAACUGUGGCGGCCACGGCGAAUCCACGAACAAUACUUGGUCCGCCGACCGCGUUUAGUCAUAGGGGCGCCGAGGGAGUGUUGAUGAGGCCCACCGUCGUCCCUGCAAAACGAGUCGCCGCGGCAGAUGGGGAAGGCUUCUAUGGUCGCGUCUGGGAAGCUCGCUACCCUCGCUGCUGCGGCUGGCUGGGAAAAUUUUGUAGGUCGGUACCCUUGCAGGCCGUUCGUAACAACAGGGAGAGGUGUUUACUUGAGGUGUUGUGCGCCAUAUUUCAUAACCUCUGAGAGGGUUGAGCAUAGUAAUUGGUUCACAUGGCACAUCACACUGUGGCAGAAGUAUUAAACUUGAAUUGGAUUGUGGGUCUGUAGGCGUCAAAACCAUAAUCGGAUUAUGAGACAAGCCGUAGUGGCGGACUCCGGAUUAAUUUUGACACCGUGAUGUUCUUUAACAUGUCCCAAAAUCGAAGGGCACAUGCGUUUCCUGUUUCGCCUUCGUCGAAAUGCGGCUGCCGCGAUUGGGAUGAAAUCCACUCCCUCUUGUAAUGCCACAGCCGCAAAGCUAACGCGGCGGGCCCAGAAGUGUUGAUUUGACGGUCGGCCGCUUCCGUGGUGUCUCCUGCACCCUGCGGUGCGCUUUAAUUAAUGCGGCUCUGCUUCUGCACGCCCUGCGUAAGUUGCCCGCAUGGCAUAUUUGCAUGGCGUUUAUGUUUCAUAAAUGGCAGAAAUGUACUGAGCCGUACCUGGAACUUAAGGUUAUCCUGUUCCCCAGCAACCGCUGUCGCGUAAUAGAGAGAUUUAGUUUAGGGGACGCAAGCGGCUUCCGUCCUCUAAACUACAGCUCUCUAGUAGUGGGGUUUCCUUGCCUUCUCACAUCACCUCCCCACUCUCUCUUAUAUGAAAACUCCCUCUUCUCCUCCCUCUCCUCUUCUCCUUUCUACAGAUCUAUCGGCGUCCCCUCUGUGCUCGCACUUAGCAUAAAGGGAAGCGCUGCAGUUUCUGCAAUGCUUCUGAGCGGAGUCACCGAUAAUUAUAGCUGUCAAGCGGCUAAUGUUGCGAUGGCCAGGGAGCCCCAGAGGGCAUUGUACACAUUCGACGCGGUGUCGUGAAAACUACUUUCUGCUGUCGCCUUUCCUCUCUGAAGGCCCAACCACUGACACGCGUCGCCAAGCUUCGGCAUGCGCCAAUGCGUCAAAAGCGUCGGUCGGGAAGGAGGCGAAGCGUGACGACGAGCAGCAAUUUUGUAGACUGCCGAUGCUAGAAGUUCGCCGACACGCGGCGACGCUACGCUGGCGAGCACCAAUCAUAGGCUGCGACGCGUCGCCGGCGUCAACCAAUCGGAGGCUGCGAAGCCUCCUGCUGCUAUGGCUAUGCUGCUAUGCCUAUGAUGGCCGCCCAUGCGAAGAUGCCGAGACCAACGAUCGUCUGAGAUCUUUUUACGUAUGACGCACGUGACAGUGUUACUAAAUGAGUGUUGUAUUAGUGGGCAGACGACAUGACCGACGACCGUGGGUUGUGGCAGUGCGACCUGAAUACGAACCGACCUGGAUACAACGCCGAAAAAUCCAACCUGCUGCUCACUGGGUUCCACCGGUCUCAGUGUGAUCGUCUGUUAAAACAUCCAACCACAUCACGAUUGCCGCAACGUCUGUACUUGGUAUAUGUGUAUUUUGUUGUGCUCGAAGCUAAUGGAAACAUGCUUCCGAACUCAGAAGUCUGCAUAAUCGGCACUCGCCUUUCGCCCAUGUUGUUUACGUUACGAUAUGCGUAGCGCGUCCAUCGAGUUCGUAGCUGGCGAAGCUGAACGAGCCCAGCUGAGAAACUCUGUCGAAGGAAAUGAAUUUUCAGUUCUGUUUGGCGCUGCAGCUAUUUGAAAUAUGGCACUCCUGACUUCGUGUGGUGUGUGAUGUGGUGAAUGCACUGUCUGAACCGUGGCGUUUUUCAUGUGGUCUCAGGUGACUCAAGUUUGACGGGCUAUCUCUGUGCUGUUUCCAGUGGCAAAGAUAACGUUCGAAAGCGAAAGAGACUAGUAGCCGAACAAUGGGAAGUACGUGUACAUCAACAGCCAUGCCGUCCGUUUCAGGUGACAGUGCGCUCUUCUAUUCGGCAUGUGAAUGCAGUUCAGUACGAGUUGGCUGUACUCCCUCACUCACUUCUUUCAACUGCAUGCGUCUUUUGGGCUAGUUGGGGAUAAAUCGCUCGUGCCGCACUCAAGAACACUGACGCACUGAAGGAUACGUGACGCAGCGCGGUUAUGUUUGAGUCAGUGUGUCCUUAUACUUGAGCACUGCAAAAAGAAAUCUCUUUGCAACGUGUGCAGUGCAUAGCAAAACUGCAUCAUGCAAGACCUAUGCAUGUAGCAGCGUAUACCAGGAUAGCUUCGAUGACUGCUUCAGAAGCAGCAAUCACUGAGUCAGUGAAACUGUAAUUGAUUUUUUCUCUCAGUUUUUGUUUAUGGAAAGUGCAGACGGUGUGAGUGCAUUCUUGGGAUGGUGAAAAUGUAUCAUCAGUUCUUUGUGAAGUCGGUAUGCUUAAACUGCCCAAAUCUCUUCAACUUCUACUAGAAUGUUUCUUGCUGUGAUACUAUAAACUGUAGUCCGGAAAAUGAUCAAGUCGAAACCAAGUUCCUAAUGCAUCUUCGCAGAAUGUGUUUUAUUAACAAGUCAACACCUCCACUGCAACAUUCUGCAGAUAUACAGCAUAUGUUCUUGAAAUAAAUACAUUCCGUAAAGGUGAACGACUGGGCCCACAAUAACAAACUUUCUAGUAGCACUGCAAAAAGUACUGCCAUAUGUAUCAGCCACAACAAAACUGUUGCGUCUCCAACCUACUUCGUUGGAGGCACACCUAUAAAGACUUUUGGGGCCCUUCCCAUUCUGGGUGUAACAUUCAGCUCCUCUCUAAAGUUUUCCGCAUAUGUCACCAGCACUGCAUCUAAGGAUUGGGCCAUUCUUGGGUUUUUGUCCAGCGUGUCCCUCUCCUGAUGACCUGAGGUUUUCCGAGCGCGCUACACUUACAUGAUUCUGCCACGACUUUAGUAUUGCUCAUCAGUAUAGUCCGCGUACCAAACUCGCGUCGCUAACAAACUUGAGCUUGUUCAGCGCCGGACAACACGCACCCUCUAUUUCCGUCUUUUCGGUUGUGGCAAGCCCAUGCCAGCCUACGAAGAUUGUCUCAAAGCCGUCAAGUAGCAUACGCUGAAAUACCAGCGCAACAUUGCACUAGUCUAUCUAUUCUGCAGGUUGCUUCAGGGCUCUCUGGACAGCACUCAUCUUUCUUCUUCAGCUCGUCUGAACAAGUGGUCAGCACCGCCUAAGCCCCACCAGUUUGGUUCCUGUGUCCUCGACCGUCACUACCACGUGACAUCUGGUGGGGGUGCUGGUUUGUUCAUGUGCCCGACGCCACCGACAAGCCGUUAUGCAAACCCGGACCGCAAAGACAGCACCAACAUCGUCCCGGAAUAUUGAGCAAGCCGCCGACUGCAACAGCUGCCCCCGGAGUACGGACAUAUACCUGAGAAGACCAAGAAGAGCGUGGCCAAGACAACACCAAUGGCUGCCCCAGCGUACUCCAUUUUGCUGCAACAACCUUGGGACACACCAUCCUUUCAUAGACCAUCGACUGAAGACCCAGAAUCAAGACUAGAGACCUACGAGCUAAUCGUGUCUUUCAACAACGGGGACUCCGAAGACAAGCUGCGGCAUGUAUACUUCGCCUUAGAAGACGCCGCCAGAAUGUGGUUCGAGAACGGCGAGUCGACCCUGACAACGUGGGACCUAUUCUGUAGUGGCUUCGUGGAGAAUUUUACGAGUAUGGUGCGCAAGGGCCGACGCUACGCUAGAAGCCCGACUACAAUUACCCAACGAGACCAUAGCGAUCUUCACUGAGGAGAUGACGUUCCUCUUCCGCCACGCCGACCCGGAUAUGCCUGAGGAGAAGAAAAUUCGGUUCCUCAUGCGUGUGGUAAAACAGGAGCUCUUCGCCGGCUAGAUACGCAACCCGCCCAGGACUCUUGCUGAAUUCGUUUCCGAAGUAACAACCAUUGAGAAGACGCUCGAUAUGCGGACAACGCAGUAUAAUUGCCGAUACUGCACCGAUGUUCGAUCACUCGGCAGUGAAAACAUGCGAGAGACCACAAGAGCGGUCGUUCGCGAGGAACUGCAGAAGCCCCUCCCUAGGUCGCAGCCUCAAGCUGUCUCAAUCGCCGACAUCGUCAAAGAGGAGGUUCAGCGAUCACUUGGGGUUACUGAAGUGAAACCGUCGUCGCCACAGCCCCAGCCGGAAACGAUGACGUACGCCGCUGUAGCCCGCCGUCACGUUCCCCCUCCGCUCCCAUGGCAGGGCCCAGUGACGCCACCGUUCCGUCGUCCACCACCGCCGCCAGCACGCCAACCCAUCGCCCUACGCAGCAUUCAAGGAAGACUGACGUUUGGCGCGCCCCCGACCACCGUCCACUUGCUAUCCCUGGGGAGAAGCCAAGCACACCUACCGUCGAUGCCCUUACCGCGAGAUAGGACUGCGAGGGUUCGCUAUCAACGCACCGCGCCCACAGCAAGGUGAACGCCCACGUGACAUCGCCGACUAGUUCGCUGCCACACAAUGGAGCCCUCGACGACCGUCCCGUUCGCCGUCACCGGGGCGCUACCUGUUGCCGCAGCGCCGUCCAUAAACUGGCCCAGUCCGGGGCCGGACCGUCACCCCAUAUCCGAAAACUAAAGGCAGCAACCGAUGGAAGUGCGGUUGCUGUUCGUGUUCGUCGAACUGACGAAGAUCCUCCACCACCGACGAAGACACCGAAAAGACUUUUUCGACGACGCCAUGCCGACGAAGCCUGAAAGUAAAGAAUACGCCGACAAAAGACGACCUGACGACGCGGCGUCCCAGCUUCAAUUCUACACGUUGUAGCCGUGAUCCGACACCAAGACCUAACGGAAAUACAGCCAGACAAGCCACAGUAGGACAACUGCCUGCCACCCGCAGACGAAUGGUCUCACGGAUUGCAUGAACACGACCUUCGCCGACAUGCUAGCGACGUACGUCGACGUCGAGCACAAGACGUGGGACGCGGUCCUGCUCUACGGAACGUUUGCUUACAACACGCAAUGCAAGAAACGCAGAUCACGCCGUUCAAGCUGGUUUACGGCAGGAAUCUGACGACGACUCUCGACGCCACGCUGUCACAAGUCACCGACGAAGAGAAUCUUGAUGUCGCCACAUAUCUACAGGGCGCCGAAGAAGCCCGACAGCUCGCCCGCCUGUGCAUCAAGAACCAGCGGAAGACCGACAACCGACACUACAACCUUCGACGACGCUAUGUCGAGUAGCAACCCGAAGACCGUGUUUGGGUUUAUACCCCAAUACGCCGACGAGGACUCAGUGAGGAACUAUUACGCCGCUAUUUCGGACCCUACAAGAUCAUCCGGUGCAUUAGCUCACUCGACUAUGAGGUCGUACCAGACGGCAUUUCGCUAUCAGAGCGACGCCGCUCACGACCUAAAAUAGUCCAUGUGUGCCGCUUAAGCCGUUCUACCAGCGCUAAUGAACUUUGACACUUUACAUAGCUGAACCUUACACCUUUUGUUUUUGGACUGUGUUACUGCGGCCUUUUCUUCUUUCUUGUUUUGUUGGUUUAGUUUAAUAAGUGUCCUUAUUGUUUUCAGCUAUCCUGUUUGGUUUUCAGCAUCGGGGCGAUGCUCUUUGAGAAAGGGGAAUUGACACAUGUACUUGUUUGUUAUUUCCGGGUGACCGCCUUUCACCGUCUAGCAAAUGUUAUCCCACAGUGUAGGACGCGCCUGCAUGUAUCGGAAGUUUCUCGAAUGCUAUCGAUGGUUCCUUUUACUGCUUGGUGGCACCGAACCUUGUGAAAUCUGAAUUACUGUCUGCGCGACGCGAAUGAUGCAGAACUUUUUGGAAGAAGCGCGGGCACCAGCCAUUACUCUGGAACCUUCGCCGACUGAUGUAUCAAUGCCGACGCGCUUGAUCCGCAGAAGAGAUUUUCGCCGAUCGCCGACUGUGUUUGCUGCUUUCGUUGAGCUUUGAGUGUAGCCUGUUCUUGUGGGCACAGGUUCGCCGAAUAAAGUUAGUUUCGCCAUUCACA